rnacentral:lncRNA from 1 species
UUUAGCUUAAGUUUAGUUCAAUUAGAUUCAGUUUUAAAACCUAAAUCAAUUUUCAUCUCCAUUUUCAAUCACAACCGUUGAUCUUAUGCAAUCAACGCUGAAAUUAAAUUCUCUUUUAAUAUAAUUAAUCCCCAAAAUAAAAAAACGCUAAAUGAAAUCAUUCCCCGACCUCCCAUUUUUGCUUCUUUUCAUCUCUCUCAAAAUUCCAACCACCACCGCCUGCCGCCGCUGGAGCAGACAACUAAAUGACCAUUGAUCUCCCUAACCAGCUCUUCUCUCUCCCCAUAUCCCUCUAUUUGGGGAACGCCGCCUUCCACCGAUGAUGCCACUAGUCCGUCGAACCAAUGAAAACCAACGCCCCGCACCACUGGCCGGCGAAAUCAACCGGCGAACCCCACUGCUCUAGCCGCGCUGCCUCUUCACCUAAAACCCUUCAUAUCUCCUCCUUACACCGCUGCCAGCUACCACUAGACAAUGAAACCAAGCCGCCAACAAAACUAGCCGCGCCUUCCGCCUCUUCUCCCUCACGCCGCCACUCCAAACUCUGUCUAAUUAACACCGAAAAAGAGUAAAGUCCAUGAUGAAUUCUCAGAAUCUGUCCUUGGUUUGUUGAUUUGUUUCAGUUUCCUUCUUCUACUCUUUUUUCUUCUCACUGAUUUUUAGAUUCGAAAUAGGCAUAGUUUGGCUUUGAAUUUUGAGUUGAUUCUUAAUAUUUCAUGUUUGUUUAUGUAUUUAGAUCUACAUACAUAAAAAAAGCCCAAUUUCUUUGAACUUCCAUUAAUCCUAGAUUUCUCUAAAUUUAGGACUGAUUUUCUAGAACUUGCUAUUCUGUCUCAAUUUCGUGAGUUUGUUCUUUAAUUUCAUAAGAUUCAAAAUUCGUGGACAUCUAUUAAUGGUUCCCUUCUAGAAUUUACGAAUUCUCGUUCCUUGAUAUUUUUAUAUUGUUAUGUGAAUUAUUCUGGUCCUUUGAUACAUUUGAUACAUUUGAAUUAGUUGUUUAGUUUCUUACACUUCACAUAUUUUCAAAUACAUCUUGAUCAGUUUGUUUCACUUUAAUUCUUUCUGAAUUAGAAUCACAGUGAGAGUGUGACUGGCUCUGAAUACCGCUUAUGGUAAGUCAAUAGAUAUAAUUUCUUGAUUAGAUCCUCUUGAUAUGGUGGUAUUUUAAUUGAUUUUGGUUGCUAAUUGAUCCCUUUCCUUUACCUUGCUUUGUUACUUGACUAUUCAUGGAAACUUUCUUCUUUGUUAUUGAUGUCUUUUCCUUUGUAACAUUUGGCAGUUUUAGUAUUUGGUUAAUUAUGAAAAGUUUGAUAUGCAGUUUUAGUACUUGGACCUUGAUUGAUUUUCUGCCUACGUGCUUAAGGAAAAUAUCCUCACUAAUUGAUUUUCUUUUCCUUUACUCCUUUAGGAUCACUUGAUUAAUUAUGGCAACUAAGUGUAAUUUUUUUUCUUUAAUUGAUUCAUUUUAUUAAAAGAAAAAGAAAUUUUCAUUACUUGAUCUUGGAAUAUCUUUGUUUCGUCUUUAUUUCCAUAAUUAAUAUUCUCAAUAUUCCCCUUUCCUUUAAUGCAUUACCACUCUUUUAUUAUAUAAACACAACCCUUUUCUUCUAUUAGGGACAACUUUUUAACUCCUAUUUUCUCUAUACAAAAAAUACCAGCUUUGAACGAUACUUCCUCUUCUCUUUAACAACUUUUCAUCCUCUACCUCUCUCUUUAACAUCUUUGAGCAUUGCACACUCUCUCUCUAGAAUACUUUAAAGUUCUCAUAAUCAAGGGAGGGAUUUUGAUUUCUAUGUGCUAUUUUAUUGAUACUACUCUCCAUUUUGUGUGCUACUUCAAAGUUCAAUUUUUCUUCUAUUAAUUUUGCUAUUAACAGGUUAGUCUCUAUCGACGUGUAUUUUAAUUCUUAUAUGGUGAUUCUUUAUAAUCUAAACUUGGAAAGCAUGCAGAUAUUCUGUAUUUGUGUUCCUUAGAAUCAUGUGGCUACCACAUGUCUACCAAAAUAUGUAUGUUUGAUUUUUUGUACUUGAAUAUUUUUGCUAUAUUUAACAGGUUCUUGGAUCAAAAGUAAGAGAAGAGUCAUUGUGGAAUUUGGGUUAUUUGGAGAUCUUCUAAUCUUAAUUUUUUUGUUAUUUAUUAUCUUGAUUUGUAAUAACUAUCGUAUAAACGCUAUGUAUGAUAAGACUAUGGGGACUGCUUAUGGGGCCCCGAGACUAUGUGAUUUGAAUAAAUUAUUUUAUCACUUAAAGCAAAAUAUUUUAGGAUUAUUAAUUAAUUUGUUUUAUCACCUAUAAAUCAUGUUUUUGAUGUAUUAAUUAAUUUUCGACAUAUAAAAUUAAGUUUGGACGAGUCAAAUGAAUUAAUAGCAUGUUUGAUUAAUUUUCGUCAUAUUAUAAUUAAGCUUCAACAUGUCUAUCUAAUUUUUCUGCAUGUUUAAAUUAAUUUUCAGCACAUAUAAAGUAUAUAUUUUCCAGCAUAUAAUUAUUUUUCAGCAUUGGAAUUUAUUUUCCAGCCCAUUUUAAAAUUAAUUUUCAGCAUUUUAAUUAGGCUUAGCAUAUUUUGGUUCAAACCGAAAAAUCAAACUGAAAUUUAAUUUGGUUUCGAUUUUUUGGUUUUUAGAUUGGUUUCGAUUUGUAAUUUUUAAAAUUCAGUUUAAAGGUUUGGGUUUUGGUUUUUCAAAAAAAUAUUUCGGUUAAACCAAAAAACUAAAAUUUUAUAAAUUAAUAUAUAAUAUAUAUAUUUUAUUAUAUAUAUUCAGUAAUUACAAUUACAGAUUCACAAUUCACAAACCACAUUAUAUACGUAAUACGCCGCAGCCAACCCUAGUCCCUAAAUCCCUAUUACCUAUGUAGGCUGCAGUUACGCCUUAUUCCACCUGCGAGUCGGCGACGGCUGACGGUGAGUGUUCCAUCGUACAAUCCACCGAAGGCCAGGCAACGAUCGAUGAGCAAGCGCGGCAACCCUAGUCCCUAAAUCCCUAUUACCUAUGCAGGCUGCAGUUACGCCUUAUUCCACUUGCGAGUCGGCGACGGCUGACGGCGAGUGUUCCUUCGUACAAUCCACCGAAGGCCAGGCAACGAUCGAUGAGCAAGCAUUCCUUCGUUCUACACUUCUACUAGUUGUGGGCUUGUGGCUAUCCACCGGAGGAGGUGAGAAAUAGUGUCGGCGGUGGCGAUCAUUGUGUAUGUGGGUUUUUUGAGCUGAUAGUUGGCGACCAAUUGUUCAACUGACCGACGAUCAAUUUUUCGAUCAGUCAGGCUUUCAAUUAUUUCUAAUUUGAUAUUUUUUUUAUUCUUCAUUUAAAUUGAUGAUUUAAGAUUAAAGGCUGAGAAGUGAGAAGUGAGAACUAAAAAUAAUUAUAUUAUUUUCACAGCUUGGAAGUAGGGUAAGUGAAUGUGAAGCAUCAAAUAAAAAUAUUUUAAUUUCAUCUUCAAAUGAAGUUGAAACUGCUGCUGAAGCUGAAUCUUCGGAGAAAAUAAAGGGCAUGGAGCCUAGGGUAAAAUGUUGACUAUGGUUUGACAAAUUCAUUGAUGAAAAAACUGGAGCUAAGAAAGCAAAAUAUAAGUAUUGUGGAAAAAUUUAUGUUGUUCUUUCAAGUGUUAGUGGUACUUUAUCGAUGAAUAAUCACAUGCUAAGGUUAUGUCCUUAUUGCUUCAAUGUUGGUGUUAAAGACAGUCAAACAAAAUUAGCUUUUCAACCAUCCUUUGCAGGUGAAAAGGAAGGGGCAUUGGGUACUUGGACAUUUGAUCAAGGACGAAGUAGAAAAGCUUUAGCACAAAUGAUAGUUGUUGAUAAGUUGCUAUUUAGUUUUGUUGAAAAGGAAGGUUUUAAGAAUUUCAUGAGAGUCACAGCCCC